GUAAAACCAAGUAUAACAAAGGGGCUACUAGGGAUGACUAGGCAAUGGAUCGGAAUGAGGUCUAAUCCAAACUGUCGAAUCCGAUCAAGGGUAUGUUAAUCAACCCGGUCUCGACGAUCAAGGCCAAAAGGUGCCUCACUUACCCUGGGAAUUGAAACAUCUUAGUACCAGGAGGAAAGGAAAUCAACCGAGACUCUACAAGUAGUGGCGAGCGAACGUAGACAAGCUAUCUCUAUCAGCUUAAACAACCUCUGUUUACGUUUAUGCGUAGCAGCAGGAAAAUGGUAGCCUUCGGACAAAGACAUAAACAAUAGCUUGGAAUAGCUAGCCACAGAUGGUGAUAGCCCAGUGAUGAUAUGACUUUGCUCCCUUUUGGCAGUGAAUUUAAUUCCUUAGAGAGAAUUGGCGGCUUGUCAAGCUGCUUUUAUAAUACCCUGUCUAUUAAGGCAGGAAAGGUGUACCAUCAUCAAAGCUAAGUAUGCUCCAUUGACCGAUAGUGCAGAGUACCGUGAGGGAAUGUUGAAAAAGCAGGUAGUAAACUGGUGAAAAGCCUGAACUAGUGGCUCCAUAAGCAGCUGGAAUCACAACAGCCAUUGACUCCAACUCAAUGUGUGAUGACAACGUACCUUUUGCAUAAUGGGUGCAGCAAGAUGAUGGUGGGUGCAUGGUAAUACACCCUAGCAAAAGCGACCUUAAUUAGCCGGUGAUAGUACCAACCAUCAGACCCGAACCCAGGUGAUCUUGCCAUGGCCAAGUGCUAUUUAAUAAGACUGAACGGGUGUCCGUUGCAAGGGACUCCGAAGAGCUGUGGCAAGGGGUGAAAAGCCAAUCUAACCUGGAGAUAGCUGGUCUUCUGCGAAACCCGUUUUAGCGGGUCGCCCAUUUAUUGAAAUUAAAUUCGUUACUAGACGGUACGGCACUGGAAGCCACGCAGCUUUUGCUGCAUAAUCGGGGGGCUGUCAUGGCUCUAUCGAUGGCUUCUAACCCCGGAAAUGUAUAGUAUACAAUGAUGGGCAAUCAGACGUAUCGUGAUAAGGCGAUUCGUCAAAAGGGCAACAGCCCAGAACAGGUGUGAAGGUCCCUAACAAGCUACUGAGUGAACACAAGGCAGUCCUCUCCAGUGUCUCUCCACAAAGUGGGCUUGGAAGCAGCCACCUUUUAGCGAUAGCGUAACAGCUCAGUGGUCUGAGCCUCCCUGUAAAAAGGGUAUAUUGCCUGGUGAGGGCGCCAAAAAUGUAACGGGUCUAUAGUAGUUGUCUCUCUGUUCCAGCUUUGGAUAUGGAGGGAGUGGCAGUUUCUUUACUGUCUCACCGAAACCCUGUCCUAGAUGUAAAAUUCUAGGGGUAGCAGAAUACCCAGCAAAUGGAAUGAAGCUUGCUCAUUGAGCCGGUGGACAUAGCUGGGCUAAGAAUGCUGACAUGAGUAGCCUAAAAGGAGGGUAAUUCCCUCUUCGCCGAAAGCAGAAGGGUUUCAUUUGUAAGGUCUAUACCUAGAUGAUUAAAGCAGCGGCCUCUAAGGUUCAGAGUAACAAAUUAGUUCCGAUGAGUAACUCUUCUAUAGGGCAGUAACCUUCCUUAUAAGUUUACCUUCAAGUAAUUAGAGGUAUACUUCAAAGAGUAAGGUUCGGGAAAGAGCCCUACAGAAUAAAUCUUAAAACCGUACCCUAAACCGACACAGGUCUGCAAGUAGAGCAUACUAAGGCGUAGAGAUAAUCGUCUUGAAGGAACUCGGCAAAAUGACCCCGUAACUUCGGGAGAAGGGGUGCCACUAAUAAGUGGCGGCACUAAACAGGGGGGCGCGACUGUUUACUUAAAACCACCGGACUCUGCUAACACUAGCGUGGAUGUAUAGAGUCUGAUACCUGCCCGAUGCUAGAUAAUCAACUAAGCCGUUCUAGGAUGGCAAAGGAAGCUCUAGUCAAUGGCGGCUGUAACCUUGACGGUCCCUAAGGUAGCGAAAUUCCCUUGGCAUUUAAAUGAUGUCCCGCAUGAAAGGUUUAACGAAGCUCCCACUGUCUCCAAGACGAGCUCGGCGAAAUUGAAUUAUCCGUGAAGAUGCGGAUUACCUCCAGCUAGACGAGAAGACCCUUUGAAGCUUGACUGCAACUAGUUAGUGUGUAACCGCUACUAAGGUACAAAGGGAGUCGACUAGACGAGAUACCUUGAUCUUUGUAGUAGGUUUCACUAUAAAUGCUGGCUAGUAGGCAGUUUGUCUGGGGCGGCAAUCCUCACCUAAAGUAACUGAGGAGUCCGAAGGUGUGCUUUGCUAGGUUGGAAACCUCUCUAUGGCUAUGGUGAGCCUAAAUAAGCGCAAUGGUAUAAGCAUGCUUGACUGUGAGACCUACAAGUCUAUCAGGUAAAACCCUUUCUAUUUACCCCUUCAUAAAUCAGGUCUCUCACGGCUAAAGUUAACCUUACCUUCUUUCUUAUUUCAUCACUUGUUAGCCUUGGUUCACAGUGCAGCGCACUUGUGGAACAAGUUUGUUUUGUUUAAAGUAGUAAAGGAAUGGAAGAAGGGGUAAUUAGGUAUAAAGGGUAUAGGUAACUAGGGCAUAGUGACCCGGUGAUACAUUAUGGAAUGUUCAUCGAUCAACGGAUAAAAGCUACUCAAGGGAUAACAGGCUGAUCCUCCACGAGAGUCCAUAUUGACUGGGGGGGUUGCACCUCGAUGUCGGCUCAUCCUAUCCUAGAGCAGUAUAAGGUUCUAAGGGUUCGGCUGUUCGCCGAGUAAAAGGGUACGUGAGCUGGGUUAAGUACGACGCGAGUCAGUACGGCUUCUAUCUACUGGAGGGAGUUGGAAGUAAGGAGGAAGCUAUUUUUAGUACGCGAGGACUUAAAUGGAGUGACCUCUGGUUUACCAGUUAUCAACAGCUAAUAAAGCUAUGGUAUGGCUGGAAAGCUACGUCACGAAUAGAUAACUGCUGAAACCAUAUCAAGCAGGAAACUACUCCUCUAUACUUCCUUUGAAACUUAGGGUAGACCACCCUAUUGAUAGGGCCUGGGUGUAAUAGCAGUAAUGCUUUUAGCCUCGGGUUACUAAUUGUUAAGCAACUUGGUUUUAC
rnacentral:rRNA from 1 species